CCCCCACUUACGGUAACUUCUGCUCUCUUUUCUUCUCUCUUUCUUCUUUAUCUCCCUCUCUCUCCUACUUUUCCACCCCCUCACCUACGUUAACUCUGCUGCUGCAAUUUCCCUGCAACUUCCCCUCCCUUUUUUAUUGUUUCUCUCUCACUUUCCUCCCUUCCUCCUCUCGACAACCCCACUCCCACGUCCCUCUUCUUCUUCACCUUUUCUCUUUAGUUUCUUUUCCAAAAACAGCACCGUGUGCUGCUGUCCUGUCCCAAACCAGCCACCAUCUUUUCUUCUCUCUUUCUUCUUUAUCUCCCUCUCUCUCCUACUUUUCCACCCCCUCACCUACGUUAACUCUGCUGCUGCAAUUUCCCUGCAAUUUCCCUGCAACUUCCCCUCCCUUUUUUAUUGUUUCUCUCUCACUUUCCUCCCUUCCUCCUCUUGACAAUCCCACUCCCACGUCCCUCUUCUUCUUCAUCUUUUCUCUUUAGUUUCUUUUCUGUUUUGCUCCCAAAAACAGCACCGUGUGCUGCUGUCCUGUCCCAAACCAGCCACCAUCUUGCGCCAUGGCCAUGGGCCAUCACUAUCUGCAAGCCGCCAUCCACCGCCAAAGAGCCGCACCACUCAUCCGCGAGCCGUUGGCCUGCCGUUCUUGCCAAAUCAGAAACCACCUCCGCCGAGACCCACUUUUGUUGAGUGCCUCCGUGACACUUUGGACGUAACCGUGCGUAACCCUCGCCACCACCGUCGUGCUCAUGUCGUUGGAAUUGUCAUCGGGAUCGGACGAUGCUCCUUCGGGAAUACCCCACAUCAACGGAUGCAGGUUGCAGUGGAUGCUGGGCUGAUGCUCAUUCGGGAAUGCCCUACGUCAACGGAUGCCGGUCGCAGGGGAGGCUGGACUGAUGCUCUUAUAUGAAAUGCCGUCUAGAUGUAGACGUUGCCGUGCUCGAUGGUGCGAGACGAUGCUCGGUUAUAUCGGAAGACUGUUAUCUGUUGCAUUGACUGGGAUCCAUGUGAUUGAUCGAUGUGUGCUGUGUGGCGCACUAAUGUGCAAGAACGUAUGAGAAUCAUGACAUCUUUAAUUCUA